UUUUAUUUUCACAUGAUAUACUUAUCUUUUCUUUUUCUCUAUUGUUUUUUUUAACCAAUUAAAAAAAGAAAAACAACGUUGUCACAUAAAUUGUCAUCAAAUAGUAUACUCAAGAAUCUUUUCACAUGCAAGCCAUUAACUUGUAACUUGUGUGUGUCCCAAGAUCACUUUGUGGAAGGAUGACCACCAAGCAAAACUAUUGACUAAGAGGGAUUUGGACACAUGUCCUCCUCUUAAACUAUCUAAGCCAAUCAAAAUUGUUUUUUAAAAUAUUUGCGUAUGUCAAUUUUUGUGAAGUAGUUAUAUAGUAGUUAAUAACCAUACAACACAUACAUACAAAAACUAUUAUUUUCAGAAGUAUAUUUAUAAAAGCAUUUAACAUAAAAAAUAAGAAGUAUAUGUAUAAGAGACAACAAAACUGAUACAGAGUUUGUUGCCACAAGUGGUUUUUUGUUUUUGUUUUUUGAGAGGUGCCACAAGUGGCUUAUCCUUUGCUAAUUGCUGGUAUUAUAUAAGGCAAAAUUUUAAAUUACCAUAUCAUAUGUAAGCCAAAUAAAAUUAUGUAAAAACAAUAAUAAAUUUUAUUGAUGUGAGACACAAUCUAAAAUUUUACUUCAUGAUGACAAUUUUGCUCUAUUAAUUAGUAAAGAUAUUAUGGUUGCUAAUCUAGCCAGGACAAAAUGUUCGACUCAGCAUUCAUGCAUACAUCGUACAACAACAACAACAAUUAUUAUUUUUGAGGUAAACAACAGUUAUUAUUAUAUUAUAGAAACCAAUCAAAUAUUAUUAAAUCUUACAUGAAUGUAUGUAAUCAACUUUUUCUUAUUGUUUGUUGAUAUAUAGAAACCAACUGAUCCACAAUGGUGAGAGUGACAUGAAUUUCAAAGUAGUGCCAAGAAGUGUCACUUGAACAAUGACAUUUAUCAGCACAUCCUUAAAACUGUUUGUAUGACAUGCUAGACAAUCAGCAGAAAACAUCAAUUCAGGUAACAUGAUUAGACUUCAGUUUCUUGCAAGAAUGUUAUAUUUGCUUAAAGGAUCAUAUAAUUCCACAAAAUGUAUUUCUAAAUGUUUCAACAAAGAAAAUGAAGGGAAAAACAGCAAAUUAUAUCAUAUAUAAUUUGGACUUACCAGUAGAGAUAUGAAGAUAAUAUUCCAUCAUUGUAACUCAUUUUCUUCGAUGCUUCAUGCAGCUAGAAUUUUGAAGGACCAGAGCUCAGUGGAGAAAAAUUUUGUUUGAAAAAAGUGACAAAUAUGGAAAGUCUAGUGACAAAUGAAAGUAGUAAUGUUCACAAACAUGUUAGUAAGUUUUCGAUAUAUAAUAUAACAAAGUGAGUGACUUGACAGCCAAAAAUAGUGGAAUCUCUUGGCUCAUACAAAAGCAAAAUGCCACGUUUACAUGCUAUCCAAAGUCCUCCUUGAAUUUAUAGCAUUGUUAGAACCACCAUUAUGAUUUUUUGUGAAUAGUAACCUAUUAUUACCUUACUUUUUUUAUCAGUAGUGGGUAUGUUUUGUCCUGAGUUCAAAAGUGGCUUUAUUCAGCUUGGUUCUUUUAAUUAUUUCUGUCCAUAAUUAUUAACCCAACUUAUGAACACUCUAAU
rnacentral:lncRNA from 1 species